ACUUAGAAGGGAAGCACAAGUGGCCAAGCUACAGUGCAUUGAAUUGAUGGAUAACCUAUUCUUGAAGUACUGAAGAGAAGAAAUGUUCACGUGUUAAUGCGGCAGGCCACAGACAACAAUUUGAACAACAUCUCCGUCAUCCUUUGCCACAGAAAACGUCUUUAUCCCUGAUGCGAUUCUUUCUGCCCAAGAAGGCAACAUCCAUUACGGACCACAACUCCCGAGGGAAACUGGUUCUGCUGCCCACUUUAGUUUUAACCUCCCAAUCCCGAGCCCAGUCUCUCUCAGUGGAUACGUCUCGCGGCAUCAGUACUGAAUAUUACACUUCAGAGCAAGUUUCCAAAGAAAUAUACAUCAACGAAUAUGUUUUAGGACAAGAACUAGUGUUUGUGCAUUCCCUUAGUAAGAUUGUCUCCCUACUGUAGGAAAGAUACUGAUAGCGAUGAAGAAAGGGAUACAUCAAUUAAAACAAAAGAUUAUCUCAUCAAAGACUUUCUGGAAGUCAAGACACACCUGUGAGAGUCCCCCUUGUGAGACAGUGAUAAGUUCAUGGAUCUACAAUGUUAAAAUCCAGGGUUUGAUUCCCUGUGGUGGUGGACACAACAGAUAACCAAAUGUCGUUUUAUUGUAAAAAACAAAUAAACAUACCUGUGAAUAAAGUCUAGUGUAUUCUCAAGAAUCACACCAAUUCUACUAAUCACC
rnacentral:misc_RNA from 1 species